rnacentral:rRNA from 1 species
GUGAGAAUGUUGGCAUGAGUAGCGAGAUGUGGGUGAGAAUCCCACAGGCCGUAAACCCAAGGUUUCCAGGGGAAGGUUCGUCCGCCCUGGGUUAGUCGGGACCUAAGCUGAGGCCGAAAGGCGUAGGUGAUGGACAACAGGUUGAUAUUCCUGUACUACCGAUAACCGUUUGAGAGAAGGGAUGACACAGUAGGAUAAGCUAAGCACACUGUUGGUUAUGUGUGCCCAAGCAUUGAGGCAGUCAAAGUAGGCAAAUCCGCUUUGAUAAUGCUGGGAUGUGAUGGGGAGCGAAAUUUAGUAGCGAAGUAGCUGAUUUCACACUGUCAAGAAAAGUCUCUAUCGAGGUUAAAGGUACCCGUACCGCAAACCGACACAGGUGGGUGAGGAGAGUAUCCUAAGGCCAGCGAGAGAACUGUUGUUAAGGAACUCGGCAAAAUGACCCCGUAACUUAGGGAUAAGGGGUGCCACCAUCAGGUGGCCGCAGAGAAUAGGCCCAAGCGACUGUUUACCAAAAACAUAGGUUUCUGCUAAGUCGCAAGACGAUGUAUAGGAGCUGACGCCUGCCCGGUGCUGGAAGGUUAAGGGGAUCUGUUAGAGCAAUCGAAGCAGUGAACUUAAGCCCCAGUAAACGGCGGCCGUAACUAUAACGGUCCUAAGGUAGCGAAAUUCCUUGUCGGGUAAGUUCCGACCCGCACGAAAGGCGUAACGAUUUGGGCACUGUCUCAACAACAGACUCGGUGAAAUUGUAAUUCCGGUGAAGAUGCCGGAUACCUGCGACAGGACGGAAAGACCCCAUGGAGCUUUACUGUAGCUUGACAUUGGGUCUUGGUACUACAUGUACAGGAUAGGUGGGAGGCUUUGAAACCAGGACGCCAGUUUUGGCGGAGCCAUCCUUGGGAUACCACCCUUGUAGUACUGGGACUCUAACCAUAGGCCAUGAAUCUGGUCUUGGGACACUGUCAGGUGGGCAGUUUGACUGGGGCGGUCGCCUCCCAAAAGGUAACGGAGGCGCUCAAAGG